rnacentral:tRNA from 1 species
GUGGAUAUAGCUCAAGUGGUAGAACACAUGCUUAGCAUGCAUGAGGUCCUGGGUUCAAGCCCUGGUAUAUGCU